UACGUAGGUGGCAAGCGUUGUCCGGAAUUACUGGGUGUAAAGGGAGCGUAGGCGGGAUGGCAAGUCAGAUGUGAAAACUAUGGGCUCAACCCAUAGACUGCAUUUGAAACUGUUGUCCUUGAGUGAAGUAGAGGUAAGCGGAAUUCCUGGUGUAGCGGUGAAAUGCGUAGAUAUCAGGGGGAACAUCGGUGGCGAAGGCGGCUUACUGGGCUUUUACUGACGCUGAGGCUCGAAAGCGUGGGGAGCAAAC
rnacentral:rRNA from 1 species